rnacentral:rRNA from 1 species
GAUGAACGCUGACAGAAUGCUUAACACAUGCAAGUCGAUGGGGAAGUGGUGCUUGCACCAUGGUAACCAUGGCGGACGGGUGAGUAACGCGUAAGGAACUUGCCUGCGGGACUGGGAUAACAGCAGGAAACUGCUGAUAAUACCGGAUAAGGUCAUUAAGCUGCAUAGCUUAGUGAUGAAAGGAGACGCCUGCGGAGAGCCUUGCGUCCUAUUAGCUAGUUGGAGGGGUAACGGCCCACCAAGGCGAAGAUAGGUAGCCGGCCUGAGAGGGUGGACGGCCACAAGGGGACUGAGAUACGGCCCUUACUCCUACGGGAGGCAGCAGUGGGGAAUAUUGGACAAUGAGGGCAACCCUGAUCCAGCAAUUCUGUGUGCACGAAGACGGUUUUCGGAUUGUAAAGUGCUUUCAGCAGGGAAGAAGGAAGUGACGGUACCGGCAGAAGAAGCGACGGCUAAAUACGU